rnacentral:rRNA from 1 species
UACGAAGGGGGCUAGCGUUGUUCGGAAUCACUGGGCGUAAAGCGUACGUAGGCGGACCGUUAAGUCGGGGGUGAAAUCCUGGAGCUCAACUCCAGAACUGCCUUCGAUACUGGCGAUCUUGAGUCCGGAAGAGGUGAGUGGAACUCCUAGUGUAGAGGUGGAAUUCGUAGAUAUUAGGAAGAACACCAGUGGCGAAGGCGGCUCACUGGUCCGGUACUGACGCUGAGGUGCGAAAGCGUGGGGAGCAAACAGG